rnacentral:tmRNA from 1 species
GGGGAUGACAGGCUUCGACGGAGGAGGCUGGUCCCGGAAUGCGAGCCGAGAGGCGCCGAACUCGUAAAAUCAGCGCAAAAGAUAAGUGCCAACCGCACUUCCUACGUCGCGAUGCCUCUGGCUGCGUAAGCAGUAAAGGCAAAGCGAUCCGUCUCCAGUAGAGAGACGGCGUCUGCCUCCCGCGAACUCUCCCCGCAGGGAGAGCAGGCGUGACAAAGGGAGAGUGCCGUCACCGACGCCGUUAAGGUGACCGAAGCUCCAACGGCUGGCCGUCAGCCCUCCGUGUCGGUUGGGGAGCUGAUGGCGAGAAAUCCAACCGACUACGCUCGUAGAUUUCCGAGGAUCGAAUCCUUCGGACGCGGGUUCGAUUCCCGCCAUCUCCACCU